rnacentral:rRNA from 1 species
AUUGAACGCUGGCGGAAUGCUUACACAUGCAAGUCGAACGGCAGCACGGGGCAACCUGGUGGCGAGUGGCGAACGGGUGAGUAAUACAUCGGAACGUGCCCAAUCGUGGGGGAUAACGUAGCGAAAGUUACGCUAAUACCGCAUACGAUCUACGGAUGAAAGCGGGGGAUCGCAAGACCUCGCGCGAAUGGAGCGGCCGAUGUCAGAUUAGGUAGUUGGUGGGGUAAAGGCUCACCAAGCCAACGAUCUGUAGCUGGUCUGAGAGGACGACCAGCCACACUGGAACUGAGACACGGUCCAGACUCCUACGGGAGGCAGCAGUGGGGAAUUUUGGACAAUGGGCGCAAGCCUGAUCCAGCCAUUCCGCGUGCAGGAUGAAGGCCUUCGGGUUGUAAACUGCUUUUGUACGGAACGAAACGGCGAGCUCUAAUACAGUUUGCUAAUGACGGUACCGUAAGAAUAAGCACCGGCUAACUACGUG